rnacentral:rRNA from 1 species
CUCCUACGGGAGGCAGCAGUGGGGAAUAUUGCACAAUGGGGGAAACCCUGAUGCAGCCAUGCCGCGUGUGUGAAGAAGGCCUUCGGGUUGUAAAGCACUUUCAGCGAGGAGGAAAGGUUGGUAGCUAAUAACUGCCAACUGUGACGU